rnacentral:lncRNA from 1 species
UUAGCCAUGGGAUAUGGGAUCUUGUCUUUUCCUUACAUAUCAGAAGUUAAACAAGACAGAAUUGGCAUUGUCGGUUUUACACCUGUCCAAGGCAUCACGUUUGAGGACAUAAAAUUCAAGAACAAGUCUCGGGAGAAACAAAGACAGCAAAACUUACUAGCAAGGAAAGAGAAACCGCAACAAGAGAAACGCAAGAAAAGCUCCAAAGUGGCGGUUGAUGAUUCUAACAAAGCGUCGAGAAAGAGAAAGUUAACGGGGAGGCAAAGACAAACUAUCCAAACAGCUCAAGAUGAAAAAGAAAUGAAUGGAGAUUAUAGCUUACUGAAAAAACUGAAGAAAGGUUCAAUUACAGAAGAUGAUUUUGCAAAACUUACAGGAGCAGCUGAUGAUUUUGUCUGAUAAAAGAAAGAAGCAAGAAAACCUUUCAGGCUUGUUGGACUAGAGCUGC